rnacentral:rRNA from 1 species
AUUGAACGCUGGCGGCAUGCCUUACACAUGCAAGUCGAACGGCAGCGGGGGAGAAGCUUGCUUUUCCUGCCGGCGAGUGGCGAACGGGUGAGUAAUACAUCGGAACGUGCCCUGUAGUGGGGGAUAACUAGUCGAAAGAUUAGCUAAUACCGCAUACGACCUGAGGGUGGAAGUGGGGGACCGCAAGGCCUCAUGCUAUAGGAGCGGCCGAUGUCUGAUUAGCUAGUUGGUGGGGUAAAGGCCUACCAAGGCGACGAUCAGUAGCUGGUCUGAGAGGACGAUCAGCCACACUGGGACUGAGACACGGCCCAGACUCCUACGGGAGGCGGCAGUGGGGAAUUUUGGACAAUGGGCGAAAGCCUGAUCCAGCAAUGCCGCGUGUGUGAAGAAGGCCUUCGGGUUGUAAAGCACUUUUGUCCGGAAAGAAAUGGCUCUGGUUAAUACCUGGGGUCGAUGACGGUACCGGAAGAAUAAGGACCGGCUAACUACGUGCCAGCAGCCGCGGUAA